UAGUAAGUGUUUAAGAGCGUACGGUGGAUGCCUUGGCACCAGGAGCCGAUGAAGGACGUAGGAGGCUGCGAUAAGCCUCGGGGAGCUGUCAACCGAGCUGAGAUCCGAGGAUUUCCGAAUGGGGAAACCCAGCACGAGUGAUGUCGUGUUACCCGCAUCUGAAUAUAUAGGGUGUGUGGAGGGAACGUGGGGAAGUGAAACAUCUCAGUACCCACAGGAAGAGAAAACAAAUAGUGAUUCCGUGAGUAGUGGCGAGCGAAAGCGGAUGAGGCUAAACCAUGCGUGUGUGAUAGUCGGCAGGUGUUGCACGUGUGGGGUUGUGGGGCUCAUUUUCUUGUUACUGCCGUGGCAAGCAACAGUCAGAAAAGUGUGUGUUAGCUGAAUUGGUCUGGGACGGCCAACCGUAGACGGUGAGAGUCCGGUAAGCGAAAAUGCAUGCUCUGUUGUAGUGAGUACCCGAGUAGCAGCGGGCCCGUGAAAUCUGCUGUGAAUCUGCCGGGACCACCCGGUAAGCCUGAAUACUCCCUGGUGACCGAUAGCGGACUAGUACCGUGAGGGAAAGGUGAAAAGUACCCCGGGAGGGGAGUGAAAUAGUACCUGAAACCGUGCGCUUACAAUCCGUCAGAGCCUUCGAGCAGUUUGCUGUUGGGGGUGAUGGCGUGCCUUUUGAAGAAUGAGCCUGCGAGUUAGUGGCAUGUGGCGAGGUUAACCCGUGUGGGGUAGCCGUAGCGAAAGCGAGUCCGAAUAGGGCGGUUGAGUCGCAUGUUCUAGACCCGAAGCGGAGUGAUCUACCCAUGGCCAGGGUGAAGCGACGGUAAGACGUCGUGGAGGCCCGAACCCACUUAGGUUGAAAACUGAGGGGAUGAGCUGUGGGUAGGGGUGAAAGGCCAAUCAAACUCCGUGAUAGCUGGUUCUCCCCGAAAUGCAUUUAGGUGCAGCGUCACGUGUUUCACGCCGGAGGUAGAGCUACUGGAUGGCCUAGGGGGCCCACAAGCUUACCGAAGUCAGCCAAACUCCGAAUGCCGGUGUGUGAGAGCGUGGCAGUGAGACUGCGGGGGAUAAGCUUCGUAGUCGAGAGGGAAACAGCCCAGAUCGCCGGCUAAGGCCCCUAAGCGUGUACUAAGUGGAAAAGGAUGUGGGGUCGCGAAGACAACCAGGAGGUUGGCUUAGAAGCAGCCACCCUUGAAAGAGUGCGUAAUAGCUCACUGGUCAAGUGAUCCUGCGCCGACAAUGUAGCGGGGCUCAAGUACACCGCCGAAGCCGCGGCACUCGAACAUAUACAUCCGCAUUGGACUACGGUCUGGUGUGCAGUGGUUCGGGUGGGUAGGGGAGCGUCCUGUAGCCAGGGAAGCAGCAGUGUGAACUAGUUGUGGAGGCUAUGGGAGUGAGAAUGCAGGCAUGAGUAGCGAAAGACGAGUGAGAAACUCGUCCGCCGAAUGACCAAGGGUUCCUGGGCCAGGUUAAUCCGCCCAGGGUGAGUCGGGACCUAAGGCGAGGCCGACAGGCGUAGUCGAUGGACAACGGGUUGAUAUUCCCGUACCCGUGUAUCCGCGCCCAGUGGCGAAUCAUCUGUGCUAAGUGCCCAAAAGCGGAUGGACCUCCUUCGGGAGGCCGGAAGUGGCUGCGCACGAUCCUGGGUGUAGUAGUCAAGCGAUGGGGUGACGCAGGAAGGUAGCUGGGCCAGUGAGUGGUAGUACUGGUGUAAGCCUGUAGGGCGUUGUGUAGGCAAAUCCGCACAGCAUAUAGCCUGAGAGGUGAUGCGUAGCCGAUUGAGGCGAAUUCAGUGAUCCUAUGCUGCCGAGAAAAGCCUCUAGUGAGUUGGUACACGGCCCGUACCCCAAACCGACACAGGUGGUCAGGUAGAGAAUACCGAGGCGAUCGAGAGAACUGUGGUUAAGGAACUCGGCAAAAUGCCCCCGUAACUUCGGGAGAAGGGGGACC
rnacentral:rRNA from 1 species